rnacentral:rRNA from 1 species
GCUUACGGCCAUACCACCCUGAACACGACGCUCUUCCGAUCUCGGAAGCUAAGCAGGGUCGGGCCUGGUUAGUACUUGGAUGGGAGACCGCCUGGGAAUACCAGGUGCUGUAAGCU